UGGGGAAUUUUGGACAAUGGGGGAAACCCUGAUCCAGCCAUCCCGCGUGUGCGAUGAAGGCCUUCGGGUUGUAAAGCACUUUUGGCAGGAAAGAAACGUCGCGGGUUAAUACCCCGCGAAACUGACGGUACCUGCAGAAUAAGCACCGGCUAACUACGUGCCAGCAGCCGCGGUAAUACGUAGGGUGCAAGCGUUAAUCGGAAUUACUGGGCGUAAAGCGUGCGCAGGCGGUUCGGAAAGAAAGAUGUGAAAUCCCAGAGCUUAACUUUGGAACUGCAUUUUUAACUACCGGGCUAGAGUGUGUCAGAGGGAGGUGGAAUUCCGCGUGUAGCAGUGAAAUGCGUAGAUAUGCGGAGGAACACCGAUGGCGAAGGCAGCCUCCUGGGAUAACACUGACGCUCAUGCACGAAAGCGUGGGGAGCAAAACAGGAUUAGAUACCCUGGUAGUCCACGCCCUAAACGAUGUCAACUAGCUGUUGGGGCCUUCGGGCCUUGGUAGCGCAGCUAACGCGUGAAGUUGACCGCCUGGGGAGUACGGUCGCAAGAUU
rnacentral:rRNA from 1 species